CCGCCAUGUUUUAAUUAAUUUGUGUUAAUUAGUAGUUAAAUAAUCGAUGAACAAGUUUAUCAAAUAGUCCGACCUAAUACACUGAGUAGGCUUGCCUGAAUCUAUAGGAAGAGGGAUUGAAUCAGCUCUACCAUAAGAAAAUGAGACAACUAGCUGUGAUUGCUCUAGUGUGUGUUGUUCUGAUAUGCUACAGCAGCGUAACUUGUAACAAAGAUGAAUUUGGUCUAUUUCGGUGUUCAAGAGAAGACUGUGAAUCUCUGAUAUGCUGUCCUGGUUACUACUGCAAAGAGCGUGAAGAAGGAAGAAUGUGCGAAAUUAGAGGACCAAGAUGAUGUGCCAUUUACCUUGACGAGAUCUUUGACACCAUAGACAAAUAAAUAUAAAUAAAUAAAUGUAGGCUCUACAUACA